GUGCAUAACACAUGCAAGUCGAGCGAGACUGUUUGAGAUUACAUCAAGAGCAGUUUAGCGGCAGACGAGUGAGUAACACGUAAGAAAUCUACCCCGAAGAAGGGAACAACUUGCCGAAAGGUGAGCUAAUACCCUAUAUAAUCCUAAGUUGGCAUCAUCCUGGGAUGAAAGACGUAAGUCGCUUUGGGAGGAUCUUGCGACCUAUCAGCUUGUUGGUGAGGUAACGGCUCACCAAGGCUAUGACGGGUAGCCGGCCUGAAAGGGCGACCGGCCACGGAGGCACUGAGAAACGGGCCUC
rnacentral:rRNA from 1 species